GGGCGCAUAGCUCAGUUGGCUAGAGCACCUCGUUUACACCGAGGGGGUCAGGGGUUCGAGUCCCUUUGCGCCCACUA
rnacentral:tRNA from 1 species